UUAUGGGGAAAGUUCCUCUCUUUACA
rnacentral:tRNA from 1 species